AGCCUUGCCAGUUGGGGAGGGCGCCGGUGGCCGCGUUCUUCAUGGCACUGCUCGGCCUCCGUGACGCGGCCGCCGGCGGCGUUCUCGGUCUACAGGGUGUUUGUCCACUGGAAACUACACCUGCGGGGAAUGCUGGCGUCUUGGGUGGGACAGUGACUCUUAAUCUCUUGAGGAUCAGCGUACGGUGUGAGCAUUGGCUAGAGCAACGGGGCCAGCAUGUCCUCAGCCAGACGGAGAUCUAGAAGUCGAAAAGGAUGUCAAAGUGGAGGUACAGCUAAGACUCGCCCUUCUGGACACGGGCACCACAAGUGUUGCAAUCCGGCAGGCUGUCCCUGGAGGUCUGCCUGUGUGCUUUCCUUUUAUUCCAAGGAUGGGCAGGCCAACACUGGUGUGCCCACUGCCUGUGACCUCAGCCUUUCCUUUCCACUUUGUGGGGUCUGUGUCCCAGCUUUCCCGCUGGACCACAGCUCCUGGCGCACCUGCCGGGACCACUCCACACAUUACCUUGAUCAUCUCUUCUGAAGUCUCACCUCAGUUACUUGAGGCCAGGAGUUUGGGACCAGCCUGAGCAACGUAAUGAGACCUUGUCUUUCCAGAAAGUUUAAUAUUAGUUAGAUAAUAGUAGCUUAUGCCUAUAGUCCACCUCCUUGGGAAGCUGAAGCAAGAGGAUCACUUGAGCCCUAGGGUUAUGGCGAGCUGUGAUGAUGCCACUGUACCCUACCCUGGGUAAC